CAAACGGCUCUUUUAAGAGCCCCCCCACCUGUACCUGAAAAGGGCUG
rfam:Struthio camelus australis contig44128, whole genome shotgun sequence.